CAGCAGCCGCGGUAAUACGUAGGGUGCAAGCGUUAAUCGGAAUUACUGGGCGUAAAGCGUGCGCAGGCGGUUUGUUAAGACAGAUGUGAAAUCCCAGGGCUCAACCUUGGAACUGCCUUUGAAACUCCUGAUCUUGAGGUCGAGAGAGGUGAGUGGAAUUCCGAGUGUAGAGGUGAAAUUCGUAGAUAUUCGGAGGAACACCAGUGGCGAAAGCGAGUCCCUGGACCCUUUCUGACGCUGAGACGCGAAAGCCAGGGGAGCGAACGGGAUUAGAUACCCGCGUAGUCCCUGUCUCUUAUAC
rnacentral:rRNA from 1 species